rnacentral:rRNA from 1 species
UACGUAGGGGACAAGCGUUGUCCGGAUUUACUGGGCGUAAAGAGCGCGCAGGCGGUCGUUCAAGUCGAGUGUGAAAGCCCCCGGCUCAACUGGGGAGGGGCACUCGAUACUGAUCGACUCGAAGGCAGGAGAGGGUAGUGGAAUUCCCGGUGUAGUGGUGAAAUGCGUAGAUAUCGGGAGGAACACCAGUGGCGAAGGCGGCCUUCUGGACAGUGACUGACGCUGAGACGCGAAAGCGUGGGGAGCAAACAGG